rnacentral:misc_RNA from 1 species
AAAUGCGAUAAGUAAUGUGAAUUGCAGAAUUCAGUGAAUCAUCGAAUCUUUGAACGCACAUUGCGCCCGCCAGUAUUCUGGCGGGCAUGCCUGUUCGAGCGUCAUUUCAACCAUCAAGCCCCCCGGCUUGUGUUGGGGACCUGCGGCUGUCGCAGGCCCUGAAAAGCAGUGGCGGGCUCGCUGUCACACCGAGCGUAGUAGCAUACAUCUCGCUCUGGGCGUGCUGCGGGUUCCGGCCGUUAAACCACCUUCGUAACCCAAGGUUGACCUCGGAUCAGGUAGGAAGACCCGCUGAACUUAAGC